rnacentral:rRNA from 1 species
CCUACGGGAGGCAGCAGUGGGGAAUUUUGGACAAUGGACGCAAGUCUGAUCCAGCAAUGCCGCGUGCAGGAUGAAGGCCUUCGGGUUGUAAACUGCUUUUGUACGGAACGAAAAGGUCUGCCCUAAUACGGUGGGCCCAUGACGGUACCGUAAGAAUAAGCACCGGCUAACUACGUGCCAGCAGCCGCGGUAAUACGUAGGGUGCAAGCGUUAAUCGGAAUUACUGGGCGUAAAGCGUGCGCAGGCGGUUAUAUAAGACAGAUGUGAAAUCCCCGGGCUCAACCUGGGACCUGCAUUUGUGACUGUAUAGCUAGAGUACGGUAGAGGGGGAUGGAAUUCCGCGUGUAGCAGUGAAAUGCGUAGAUAUGCGGAGGAACACCGAUGGCGAAGGCAAUCCCCUGGACCUGUACUGACGCUCAUGCACGAAAGCGUGGGGAGCAAACAGGAUUAGAUACCCUGGUAGUCCACGCCCUAAACGAUGUCAACUGGUUGUUGGAUCUUUACUGUAUCUAGUAACGAAGACGUACGACGUGAGUAGACCGCCGUCGGGAGGUAACGGUCCGCGAGGUUAGUAACGUUACGAAGUAGUUAGUUGGCGNGNGAGAGCGACGACGGACGACGACGGAGGGAGGAGG